AAGUAAAUAACAAGUAAUUAAAAGAGAGGGGUUUGAUUUGAAGAUGUACUAAAGCUAAUUAACAAUAGAAAGCAAAUAAUUUAAAGAUGAGUAAAUCAAUAAGAGAAAAGCUUCUAGUUGAAGUAUGGAUCUAUUUCAGAUUGUUUAGAAUUGAUCAUUGAUUCUUUAACACUCCUAUUUAUUUCAAUAAAUUAGUUUAGGAUGUGGA
rnacentral:lncRNA from 1 species